GCGAUUUUCUUUCACAGGCUCCUUAAGAAGGUUUGAAAGAAGUCUUUCGCUGUUAAGAACUACUUAACUGAUCUGGGAAACCCGGCCAAUGAUGAGUCGUAAUACCCCCUUUUGAGCGUGAAGCGGGCAAGAAAUAAUGAUUUAUUUAAUAUGUUUCUGGUCAUUGAUGACUGUUCUGUACUCCUACUUGGAGUAUCGAGGAAGGGGGUAUGAUCAGAGUGGU